rnacentral:lncRNA from 10 species
CAGAGUUUCACUCUUGUUGCCUAGGGUGGAGUACAAUGGCGUGAUCUCAGCUCACCACAAGCUCUGCCUCCCGGGGUCAAGCGAUUCUCCCCAGUAGCUGAGAUUACAGGCAUGCGCCACCACGUCCGGCUAAUUUUGUAUUUUUAGUAGUGAUGGGGUUUCUCCGUGUUGGUCAGGCUGGUCUCGAACUCCUGACCUCAGGUGAUCCGUCUGCCUCAGCCUCCCAAAGUGCUGGGAUUACAGGAGUGAGCCACCGAGCCUGGCCGCUUCCGGUCUUUGGAUUUGAUUUUCCUCAAGUGUAAUUGAAAGCAGGGGCCUGGAUGGCCGCCAUAGUCCCUCCCAGCUUCGACAUUACACAUUCCUGCCAAUCCAUUUUUCAGGCUGAUAACAUUGUUCAGAGUUUAAUGGGAGCAGGGUAAGAUAGUCACCGUGUGGAGCAAAAAUUGAAGGAAAUAUUCCAGAUGUCAUGAUUUUUUACCUGUAGCCCCUCUGCUGCCACACCCUUGUGCACAUCCUCCAGACACUUUUAAAGAAUAAACUCUAUUUUCAGAAGAGUUUUAGAUUUACAGGAGAAUUGUGAAAACAGUUCAAAAAGUUCUCAUAUACCCUGCUCCCAGUUUUCCCUGUUACUAACGCUUUGCAUUAGUGUGGCACAUUUGCCACAAUUAAUGGACCAAUAUUGAUACAUUAUUAUUUACUGAAGUUGAAACAUUACUUUAGUUUUUACCUGGUCCAGGAUCCCAUCUGGGAUCCCACAUCACAUUUAGUGAUCAUGUCUUCUUAGAUUGCCCUGGGCUGUGCCGCUUUCUCAGACUCUCCUGGUUUGUGAUGACAUUGACAGUCUUGAGUUUUGAUGACCAGUUUUGACUGGUCAGGUAUUUCAUAGAACGUACCUCUGUGAGGGUUGUCUGAUUCUUCUUCUUAUUAGAUUGGGAUUAUGGAGGAAGGCCACAGAGGUAAAGUUCCGCUUUUAUGAAAUCAAGGGUAGGCACCAUCAGCAUGACCUAUCACUGAUGUUGACUUUGAUUACCUGGCUGCUGUAGUGGUUGUCAGGUUUGUCCACUUUAAAGAUACUUUUGUGUUUUUGUUCUUUCUUAACUCCCUUUUUAUAUUAAAC